GCAGGCGGUCCUUUAAGUCUGAUGUGAAAGCCCACGGCUCAACCGUGGAGGGUCAUUGGAAACUGGGGGACUUGAGUGCAGAAGAGGAAAGUGGAAUUCCAAGUGUAGCGGUGAAAUGCGUAGAGAGUUGGAGGAACACCAGUGGCGAAGGCGACUUUCUGGUCUGUAACUGACGCUGAGGCGCGAAAGCGUGGGGAGCAAACAGGAUUAGAUACCCUGGUAGUCCACGCCGUAAACGAUGAGUGCUAAGUGUUAGGGGGUUUCCGCCCCUUAGUGCUGCAGCUAACGCAUUAAGCACUCCGCCUGGGGAGUACGGUC
rnacentral:rRNA from 1 species